rnacentral:rRNA from 1 species
UACGUAGGGUGCAAGCGUUUAAUCGGAAUUACUGGGCGUAAAGCGUGCGCAGGCGGUUUUGUAAGUCAGAUGUGAAAUCCCCGGGCUUAACCUGGGAAUGGCAUUUGGGACUGCAAGGCUGGAGUUUGGCAGAGGAGACUGGAAUUCCUGGUGUAGCAGUGAAAUGCGUAGAUAUCAGGAGGAAUACCGAUGGCGAAGGCAGGUCUCUGGGCUGAAACUGACGCUCAUGCACGAAAGCGUGGGGAGCAAACAGG